rnacentral:lncRNA from 1 species
CGAAAGUCUGGGCCCUCCUGAAAUUAGAGGACCGAUGUAGUCCCUUCCAGUGUGGAGAGUGGAUUACCAGUUGCAGUAUAAUACAGAAUUAAAAGAAGACUCUUCAAGUCUCUGUCAUCCCUUAAGAACCCUGAAGCUCUGAUGAUGGGAUUACAUGAAAGUGAAACUUGAUUUCUCCCCUCAUCCCUUGAAGAGAGGACGGGCGGGAAGAAGAUCCUUAUGGACUCAAAAGUGGCAUUUGGGAGGUAAGACCUUUGGUACUCAAACAGUAUGGGAUUUUAAGAAUAAAGUGGAAGAAACCUGUCCAUAUCCUCUAAACUUAUUGAAACACUGUGAAUUGCCAG